rnacentral:misc_RNA from 1 species
GUAGGUGAACCUGCGGAAGGAUCAUUAUCGAGUGUCGGAUCGCAAGAUCUACCUCCCACCCAUUGUUUAUUGACCAGUUGCUUCGGCAGGACGUUCUUUACGGACCGUCGGCAUUUAUGCGGGCGAGCUCCUGCCGAAGGAUCACCAACUCUUACCUACAGUCUGAGAAAAGAAUAAAAAAAUCAAAACUUUCAACAACGGAUCUCUUGGUUCUG